GGAAAAUGCUGUUGAUUUUCACAACAGAAUGGCGCAGAAAGGCAUAACUCCUAGCUGCACCACUUGGGAGCUUCUUACACGGGGUUAUUUGAAGCAAAAGGAAAUGGAUAAAGUUCUCGAAUUUUUCAAAAAAACUGUCACUAGUGUUUCAAAAUGGAAUCCGGAUGCAAAGAUGGUUCGAAAGAUGUUUCAUGUAGUUGAAGAGCAGGGCGACAUUCAGAUGGCAGAACAGUUACUAGUUACCCUUCGACAUGCUAAGUUUGUGAAUACAGAGAUCUAUAAUGCACUUCUCCGAACUUAUGUGAAUGCUGGUAAGAUGCCAAUGAUAGUUACAGAGAGGAUGAAAAAGGAUAACGUGGAGAUGGAUGAGGA
rnacentral:misc_RNA from 1 species